GACGGAGGGUGCGAGCGUUGUCCGGAAUUAUUGGGCGUAAAGAGCUUGUAGGCGGUUUGUCGCGUCUGCUGUGAAAAUCCGGGGCUCAACCCCGGACUUGCAGUGGGUACGGGCAGACUAGAGUGUGGUAGGGGAGACUGGAAUUCCUGGUGUAGCGGUGAAAUGCGCAGAUAUCAGGAGGAACACCGAUGGCGAAGGCAGGUCUCUGGGCCACUACUGACGCUGAGAAGCGAAAGCGUGGGGAGCGAACAGG
rnacentral:rRNA from 1 species